CCUACGGGAGGCAGCAGUGAGGAAUAUUGGUCAAUGGACGAGAGUCUGAACCAGCCAAGUAGCGUGAAGGAUGACUGCCCUAUGGGUUGUAAACUUCUUUUAUAUGGGAAUAAAACGUUCCACGUGUGGGAUUUUGUAUGUACCAUAUGAAUAAGGAUCGGCUAACUCCGUGCCAGCAGCCGCGGUAAUACGGAGGAUCCGAGCGUUAUCCGGAUUUAUUGGGUUGAAAGGGAGCGUAGGUGGAUUGUUAAGUCAGUUGUGAAAGUUUGCGGCGCAACCGUAAAAUUGCAGUUGAAACUGGCAGUCUUGAGUACAGUAGAGGUGGGCGGAAUUCGUGGUGUAGCGGUGAAAUGCUUAGAUAUCACGAAGAACUCCGAUUGCGAAGGCAGUUCACUGGACUGCAACUGACACUGAGGCUCGAAAGUGUGGGUAUCAAACAGGAUUAGAUGCCCCAGUAGUC
rnacentral:rRNA from 1 species